rnacentral:rRNA from 12 species
ACGUAUAUAUUCGUUUUGGAAUGAACUUAUGUAAAAUUAGGUUGUUGGUAAAUUAAAAGCUUACCAAGCCUAUGAUUUUUAGUUGGUCUGAGAGGACGUACAACCACACUGGGACUGAGACAAGGCCCAGGCUUUUUUUAGGGCCAGCAGUGAGGAAUAUUGGACAAUGCGCAAACGCGUGAUCCAGCUAUACCACGUGAAUGAUGAAG